CAGGUGUGUAUGUCAGCACUCUUAUCGGUAAGGGAAAUCAGGUGUGUCUGUAACCACUCAUACAAUAUGGCGAUGGCAGAGCACAGAGAUGUUGCUGCAUUCCCAGCUCAAACGGAUUGGAUGUCGACUCAUGACAAACUCGAUCAGACGUCUAUCAUCGUCAAUGGCACGGAAUUCAAGGAUCUGACAGCUUCUCAAUGAGACAUGCUCAAUGAUGUUCAUGUCUGGUGACUAGGCUGGCCAGUCGUGGAGGAUCUUGAUCUUUUUCCACAGCAGCAGAGCUCCACGAGACCUGGUCACCUGAAGUCCCUGUGUCAACCAGAACAGUCUGUCGA